UCUCGUUUCGUUCCCCCUUCUCCGUCUCCUUCCUCUCUUUGGUUCGGCGAGGGCGGCGGCGAAGGCGAAGGCGGAGGAGGAGCCCGAGGAGCGGCGGCUGCGGAGAUCGAACUACAAGGUUACGGCUCUCAAGUCGGUCGACGUUAGCCCCUCGUGCGUCGGCCCCCUUCACCAGCCCCCUCAUCAUCAUCGAGGUGAACCUUAAAACCGUGGAGAGGUAUUAAUCUUAAUCUUGGGAUGUUGAGACAUCAAAGCUCAUCACAAGGUAAAGAAAUUAUGAUUAUGCUUUUUUAGUUUUAUGAGAAAGUGAAAAAAUCAAUUAGAGUAAAGAAGUUAGUCCAAGAAUAAAAGGUUAUGUUAGCAACUUGGAAUACAAGUACACUUUAAGGGAAUGAAUUAGAAUUGAUAGACACUAUGAUAAGAAGAAGAAUAAAUAUUAUUUGCUUACAGGAGACUAAAUGGAUAGAAAAAAAAUCUAGAGAGAUUGAUAGUACUGGAUUUAAAAUUUGAUAUACUGAAAUAGUGAAACACAAGAUGACAUAGGAAUUGUUGUCGAUAAGGUUCUUAAGAACAAUGUUAUAGAUGUAAAAAGGUUUGGAGAUAAAAUUAUUGUUCUAAAAUUUAUAAAGGAACGAGAUUUUGUGAAUGUCAUUAAUGCUUAUUCCUCUUAAGUGAGAUUGAAUAGUCAAACCAAAAGAGAAUUUUGGAAACUUAGAUAAUAUCAUUUAAGGAAUAUUUAUAACAAAACAUUUUAUAGUUGGAGGAGAUUUGAAUAAUGUUGUAGGGAAAACAUAUGGUAAAUAUAAAGAGGUAUAUAGGGGCUUUAGUUAUAGGGAAAGAAAUGAAAAUGAUGAUAUGAUUUUAGAUUUUGAAACUUUGUUUGAUCUUAUAAUUGUAAAUACUCACUUUAAGAAGAGAGAAACAUUUGAUUACUUAUAAGAAUGAUCACAAUUGUAGUCAAAUACAGACUUAUUUCUUUUCGGCUUUAUUGUUGUUAUUAUAGAAGGUGAAAAAAACCAUGUUUGGUACUUUCAUCUAGAUAGAUUGAUCUACAUGGUCAUAUAAUGUUUUCCUUGAUCAGAUUUUUUUUCUUUUGUAGUGAGUAUUUUAAUGCUCAAGAGGAACAUGCAAUUUUGAAAAUAAUGAGGCUGUCAUUUUUAAAUUCCACUUAGAAUCUCUGUGAAUGAAAUUGUGAAGAUUUUGGUAGAGAAGGCCGCCAUUGUGCUUUGUGUCUAGAUGGUGUCCAUCUCUAGAUCCAACUGCUUAUAUGAAUGCAUAGGUACAUAGAUAGUGUGUCUCUCUCGAUCCAAAUGCUUAUAUGAAUCGAUGGAUGUGUAUGUAUACACAUACAACUUUGUGCACAUAUGAUGAAUUUUUUUAUCUUGUUUCUAAAAUAACUGUUCCUUAUGUGUCUCAUGUAUGUGUGCAUGUAUCACACUGGAUAGUUCAAUUAUGAGACCCUAUUAUUUUGAA